rnacentral:misc_RNA from 1 species
GAUUGCCGUCGUUGUGCAGGUUAGCCCCUUCGAGAUAGAACGUUUCAGACUUUAGUGUGGAAUGAAACGAUUCGAUGGGGGCAUUAUCAGCAG